rnacentral:misc_RNA from 1 species
UCCGAUUUGUCACCGGCAGUCUCCCUAGAGUCCCCGACCGAAUCGCUGGCAACUAAGGGCAAGGGUUGCGCUCGUUACGGGACUUAACCCAACAUCUCACAACACGAGCUGACGACAGCCAUGCAGCACCUGUGUGGACGCCAGCCGAACUGAAGGACCCGAUCUCUCGAGCCCAUACGUCCCAUGUCAAGGGUUGGUAAGGUUCUGCGCGUUGCUUCGAAUUAAACCACAUGCUCCACCGCUUGUGCGGGCCCCCGUCAAUUCCUUUGAGUUUCACCGUUGCCGGCGUACUCCCCAGGUGGAUUACUUAUCGCUUUCGCUAAGCCGCGUACUGUAUAUCGCACACAGCGAGUAAUCAACGUUUACAGUGUGGACUAC